AUUUUUAAAUUAAAAAUUGAUAUGUACAUGUAGAUUGAAAAGACUACCGAUUUUGUCUAGGUGAUAGCAUGUGAAAUUGACCCUCGGCUGGCUGCAGAAUUACAGAAAAGAGUGCAGGGAACGCCUUUCCAGACUAAACUCCAUCUGAUUGUUGGGGACGUCUUGCGAACUGACCUGCCUUUUUUUGACAUCUGCGUAGCUAACCUUCCUUAUCAGAUAUCCUCUCCCUUUGUAUUUAAGUUGCUCUUACAUAGACCAUUCUUUAGAUGUGCAGUGCUGAUGUUCCAGAGGGAGUUUGCUCAGAGAUUGGUAGCCAAGCCUGGAGACAAACUGUACUGCAGACUCUCCGUCAACACCCAGCUGUUAGCCAGAGUCGACCAUUUGAUGAAGGUUAGCAAGAACAACUUCAGACCCCCACCAAAAGUGGAAUCCAGUGUUGUGAGAAUAGAGCCAAGGAACCCCCCUCCUCCCAUCAACUUUCAGGAAUGGGAUGGACUUGUCAGAAUUUGCUUCUCCAGAAAAAACAAAACCAUAGGAGCGUCUUUUAAAUAUACAAAGGUUUUAGAAUUGCUGGAGAAAAAUUACCGGACUCAUUGUUCUCUCAAGUCUGUGCCAGUGGCACCAGACUUUGAUGUGAAAGCAAAGGUUACAGAGAUUUUGGAGAAAGGAGACUUUGAGAAGAAAAGAGCAAGGACCAUGGAUAUUGAUGACUUUCUGGGAUUAUUGAACUGUUUUAACGGAGAAGGAUUUCAUUUUUCUUGAGGCUGUCCUAAAAGGAAGAUAUUUGCCAGGUCUUUCAUAUUUCACCAGUCAACAAGUUGUCAAAAUUCAUUGUGAGUGUGAGGAACUAAUUGAAUGCAAUGCAACUUUCUCAGUUUUGAGUCCAAUAGUGGCUUGAAUGGACACAACAUCAUCAGACUGAAACCAGAUGUUAAAGCUUGAAACAAUCAUAGCAUCUGGUGUUGAAAUGGUUAUUCUCUUAUAUUAUCUGACAGUAUUUGAACACUGACAAAUUUGCUCCUUUAUUUCACUCUGACAGUUUUGAGUUUGAAUCAAACUUCUAAAGUCUUCCGACUCUUCGUAAAACAAUUAUUUGCUCUUUAAAUUUUUCUCAUAAGAAAAUCCCCCAAAAAUAACCAUAAGCAUACUGAAGAUCCUGACUACUCUUUAGUUGUAUAUGCAUGUACAAAAUAUACUUGCUGCCUUGUGUUGUUAAUCAUUGUGUUAUUAUCAGAAUUAUUGAUGAAUAAAAACAUGUAAAACAUU
rnacentral:misc_RNA from 1 species